AAAGCAACCUACUGAUCUUGAGUUGCGCCUGCUUACAGCUGCGCUUCAAUUUAAAAGCAACGUAUUUCUUAAUGCUGUCCUCCUCGAUUCUCAUGAAUUCAAGUAGGCCUUGCUGAUAUUCGACAAGUCAGUCAGUUGGCUCCAGCCGCCGGUGGAGGAGUAACUGGAGGAGGCGGUAGACCAGGAGGCGGUGGACCAAGACGAGGUGGGCAGAUUUCAGCUUCCACACUUUGGCAUGCAUAUAUAAACACUCACCUGUUUGGCUCUAUGGCUCUGUCAGCAGGUAGCUGCCAGGUGCUCAAUAUGCUCAUGAAAGGCCACAUCCACUUGCAGUGGGAUCGGGAAGCAGCUUGGGAACGGCUAAAAGACUGCGACUGGGCAUGCGAAAAAAAAGGCAUAUAAAUAUUUGUACAUUAUGGCAAAGUAUAGUCUGGCGUUGCCUCUGCUGCUGCACCUGGCACAGCCGCUGCUUUGGCCUCUUGUUCUGCUUAUGCUGAUGCCACAUGAGCAAAACAAUUUCAAUUCUAAUGUCCCAUUAAUCAUUCACAAACAUUAAGCAUA